GAGUUCAAGGCCAGCCUGGUCUACAGAGUGAGUUCCAGGGCAGCCAGGGCUACACAAAGAAACUCUGUCUCAAAAAG
rnacentral:miRNA from 1 species